rnacentral:rRNA from 1 species
GAACGGUAACAGGCCUUCGGGCGCUGACGAGUGGCGGACGGGUGAGGAAUGCGUAGGAAUCUACCCAGUAGCGGGGGACAACUUAGGGAAACUUAAGCUAAUACCGCAUACGCCCUACGGGGGAAAGCAGGGGAUCUUCGGACCUUGCACUAUUGGAUGAGCCUACGUCGGAUUAGCUAGUUGGUAGGGUAAAAGCCUACCAAGGCGACGAUCCGUAGCUGGUCUGAGAGGACGAUCAGCCACACUGGGACUGAGACACGGCCCAGACUCCUACGGGAGGCAGCAGUGGGGAAUAUUGGACAAUGGGGGCAACCCUGAUCCAGCAAUGCCGCGUGUGUGAAGAAGGCCUGCGGGUUGUAAAGCACUUUCGGUAGGGACGAAAAGCUGAGGGCUAAUAUCCUUCAGUCU